rnacentral:lncRNA from 1 species
GGAACAGACAAGUAGUGUUGGAAGGUGGGUGAGAUUGUUCUCAUCUGAUAGGGAACAGACUAGUAGUGUUGGAAGGUGGGUGAGAUUGUUCUCAUCUGAUAGGGAACAGACUAGUAGUGUGGGAAGGUGGGUGAGAUUGUUGUCAUCUGAUAGGGAACAGACUAGUAGUGUGGGAAGGUGGGUGAGAUUGUUCUCAUCUGAUAGGGAACAGACUAGUAGUGUGGGAAGGUGGGUGAGAUUGUUCUCAUCUGAUAGGGAACAGACUAGUAGUGUGGGAAGGUGGGUGAGAUUGUUCUCAUCUGAUAGGGAACAGACUAGUAGUGUCGCUAG